rnacentral:rRNA from 1 species
UACGGAGGAUGCGAGCGUUAUCCGGAUUUAUUGGGUUUAAAGGGUGCGUAGGCGGGAAAUUAAGUCAGCGGUGAAAGUUUGGGGCUCAACCUUAAAAUUGCCGUUGAAACUGGUUUUCUUGAGUGUAGAUGAAGUAGGCGGAAUUAGUGGUGUAGCGGUGAAAUGCAUAGAUAUCACUAGGAACUCCGAUUGCGAAGGCAGCUUACUAAGGUACCACUGACGCUGAUGCACGAAAGUGUGGGUAUCAAAC